UACGUAGGUGGCGAGCGUUGUCCGGAUUUAUUGGGCGUAAAGCGCGCGCAGGCGGUGCGGUAAGUCUGUCGUGAAAUCUCCCGGCUCAACUGGGAGGGUGCGGUGGAGACUGCCGGACUGGAGGCACUCAGAGGCCGGUGGAAUUCCCGGUGUAGUGGUGAAAUGCGUAGAGAUCGGGAGGAACACCAGUGGCGAAGGCGGCCGGCUGGGGGUGACCUGACGCUGAUGCGCGAAAGCGUGGGGAGCGAUCCGG
rnacentral:rRNA from 1 species